CUUAUCCCGCUUUCCCCCACAAUGUGCCACCUCCUCGUUGCCCGCUCCCGAGGAAUCCUUACCAAAUACUGCCCAGGCUCAGAACCCUUCAGCCUCACCGCUCACCCCGUGCUCCGAGGCCACCUCGGGCACUCUCACCCUGGCAGCAGCGGGUUAACGGCCCAGGGCGUACGGCGUUAAGGGUGAUGCAUCUCGAAGCAUUGUUUUUCGCUAUACGUCCCUGUGUUCGCAAUAUUAAAUACUUCCUUCCCCUUUGGCGCUGGAGGCUGCUCUGAAGGCUGGAAGCACCGUGUCUGUUUGAGCAGGGCCUCUCUAUCGCCAGCAUCUGCUUAUCUGCAGCUCAAAGGAAAUUCUGCUUGGCUGAUGUGUUCCAGCUCCGGAUGAAACGCCUCCCGCCUGCACACGCGGAGAGUUUCAUAAGCAAGGGGCUCAGAUGCCGCGAGCUGUUGUGAGACCGCUUCUCAGUAACGCGGUCUGUGAAAAUAAUCAGGGGUUCUCGCUUCAUGGUGUCGGCAGCCGCGGGGCCAAAGUUGCUGCUGGGAUCAUCUGAGCAGCACCUCCAGAUCCUACAGCAGCUCCGUGCUUUCAGAGGGGCUGCAGGGGCUCGGGGGCAGACUGUGAAUACUCACGUGGCCAGCAACGCCUCAAAAUCGAAACAUCAAAUAAAAUCCCACCGAGUGAAAUACAACGCAAACACGCGAUUUAGCCACUAGAAAGGCUGGGCAGGUUUAAGAGCUCGCCUGCGUUGAAAAGGGGAGCUUUAUGUUUUCAAGUGUCUUUGCAUCACCUAAGGCGCACAGCCUGCUCUUGAUGCUGUGCUAAAAAUAAAGUGCCCUGGAAGGUGCCGACAGCCUUCUCAGCACUUCAGAUUCUUUGAACUGAAAGAAAACGGUACGAGAUGAGAAAAUCUUUGCAGGCCACCUGGGUGCUGGGGUGCUGCGUGCCAAAAGACUUUGACCAAGCACUAGGCACAGAAGCCGGCGUCCGCUGUGGUUGCGCCAAGCUCUCUCCCCAAACGUGGGCUACAAAGGUGCUGCAGACAACACGGGCACCGCACCUUUCUGCUUCGUCUAAAUCUGAUGUAUAUUUAAAGUCCCUGAAGCAGCAGAUGAAGGAGAAACGAGGCAGCCAGGAGAUGCUGCUGUGAGCAGAGCCCAACACCACAUAAUUCUCUCCCGAUCUUCAGUCUCCAUCGUAAGACAAGCCUCCUGCAUUUCUCUUGUGCAUUUUCCAUCCUCCCCAGGCCUCGAUAGGAGGACCAUGCAUCUCAGGACCAGCAGUUGGCUGCCGGAUUCAGGAUCUGAUUUUCUCUCACUUCCUGGCUUCCUCAACAACCCUGCAAACCCCACGGAUCCUCUUGCGCGUUUUUCCCCUGGUCUGGAGCACGGAUUCAGCCCCAGCCCUGUGCCAGAGGCAGCCACAGAAGCUCUCAAGAGUGGAGGCUUCUAGUCCUGCUCACCCAGGCAGCUCUGCUGACCCCCUGUGAACCCAAAAUGUGGCCUGAACCCCCCAAACAAGGGGAGAGCACCUCGCGGCCACAGAAGCAGGGGGAGCCACAGUCCGAUGAGCGAGCUGUAGACUUCAAAGAACAGUUGGUUUGGAAAAAAGAGGUAGAACAUUGUGUCCCCUGCCCCAGGCGGUCACUGCUGUGGGAAGCUAGGACCAGAUAGACGUUGAGAUUUCUGCAAUGCCUUCAGCUGCUGAGAAGGGUAGGACUUGGCCUAUUUUCUGAGCUAUCGCAGCCAGCCAGCUGUCUUCCCCACACAUCCUUCUUCUCUCUCCUCAUCCAACAUUUGUAAAGGACCCAGGCACCCUCUCCUUGCCCCUGUUACGCUCCCAGCUGAAGCAUCCUCAGUCCCAUUGAAUGAUCCGAGUGGCUCCUGACCUUUCCCAGCCCCAGAAAACUUCUGCUCCCCAAAGCUCACCUCCUAACCGGCAUUAAAUCCCUCUGCAGCGAGCGACCCUGCUCACAGAACAAGGGGCUGAGCUGCAAAAUCCCCUUUUAGCUUUUCCUGCCCGCGCCCACAGGCAGCUCUGCGUUACCUGCGCACAAGAGAUGGCCUGAAGGCUACAGCCCUGCGGCCAAAAACGUUGUUAAUAACUCUCUGGACCCCAGCUAUCCCGCAUGCUUUGGCGGGACAGGGUUUUUGCUGCUCUCUGUUGCCAAGCUGCACGCCUUAGAUCAGCCCCUGGUGCUCCGGCGUUUCCCAGCCUCGCUGCAUAGCAAACGCUCGGGGCUUAUCGCAGCAUCAGAGCAGUUGGGAGACAGUUGAGUGUCUCUCUAAGUGCUGAUAGAAGGGAAGGCUUUGCUCUUGGAGAUAAGAAGCCCUCCCUGAGGAGCCAGGGGAGUUCGUUGGUAUCGGAGCGUCUUCCAGCGCUUCACAGACGUACCCUUGGAGCGCGCGAGAUGGCGAGGCGGUCACGUAGACAGCAGCCAGGGAGGGCUGUGUUUUUGAGGUCAGUUAACUGAAUCCCUCGCUAUCGUUUAUUUUCUCUCCCUUCAAAUUAUUUUUCUCUUGUUGAUGCAGCCUUUGCGGUGACCUCGUUGGCUCACCGAGAAGUAAACAGACGGUUGCAUCCUCAUAUUUUUGGAGAUAGAUUAAUUGAGGAAAGAUGGUAGGAAGGUAUUUCAGCCUAAGAUUCUGAAACGCUUAACGGCUCCACUCUGCUGCUCUCUGUGCUUGAGAAACAAACCCGCAGCAAGGGCUGGUAGCGGGCAUCUCUUGUCCAAGUUGGUUGGAACAGGUGUGUCUGGAGUGAAACUCACUGCCACCUCCAGACAGAGCUCCCCGCAUCACCCCAGGGCAGCGAAUCCAGCCUCUGCUGGUGACACGUCAUCUGCUGCUCGUGUAUCAGUAAAGCAGAAGGUCUAGGACUCCUCUCUGGAGGAAUUCAACUGAUCUAGAUUCCCCACAUCAGGUAGUUUGGGUGAGCAGAGGA